UAGAGUUUGAUCCUGGCUCAGAUUGAACGCUGGCGGCAUGCCUUACACAUGCAAGUCGAACGGCAGCACGGGAGCUUGCUCCUGGUGGCGAGUGGCGAACGGGUGAGUAAUACAUCGGAACGUACCCUGAAGUGGGGGAUAACGUAGCGAAAGUUACGCUAAUACCGCAUAUUCUGUGAGCAGGAAAGAGGGGGAUCGCAAGACCUCUUGCUUUAGGAGCGGCCGAUGUCGGAUUAGCUAGUUGGUGAGGUAAAGGCUCACCAAGGCGACGAUCAGUAGUUGGUCUGAGAGGACGACCAGCCACACUGGGACUGAGACACGGCCCAGACUCCUACGGGAGGCAGCAGUGGGAAUUUUGGACAAUGGGCGCAAGCCUGAUCCAGCCAUGCCGCGUGAGUGAAGAAGGCCUUCGGGUUGUAAAGCUCUUUCGGUGGGGAAGAAAUUGCACAGAAGAAUACCUUGUGUAGAUGACGGUACCCGCAUAAGAAGCUUCAGCGGACUACGUGCCAGCAGCCGCGGUAAUA
rnacentral:rRNA from 1 species